rnacentral:rRNA from 1 species
GAUGAACGCUGGCGGCGUGCCUAAUACAUGCAAGUCGAGCGAACGGACGAGAAGCUUGCUUCUCUGAUGUUAGCGGCGGACGGGUGAGUAACACGUGGAUAACCUACCUAUAAGACUGGGAUAACUUCGGGAAACCGGAGCUAAUACCGGAUAAUAUUUUGAAACGCAUGGUUCAAAAGUGAAAGACGGUCUUGCUGUCACUUAUAGAUGGAUCCGCGCUGCAUUAGCUAGUUGGUAAGGUAACGGCUUACCAAGGCAACGAUGCAUAGCCGACCUGAGAGGGUGAUCGGCCACACUGGAACUGAGACACGGUCCAGACUCCUACGGGAGGCAGCAGUAGGGAAUCUUCCGCAAUGGGCGAAAGCCUGACGGAGCAACGCCGCGUGAGUGAUGAAGGUCUUCGGAUCGUAAAACCCUGUUAUUAGGGAAGAACAUAUGUGUAAGUAACUGUGCACAUCUUGACGGUACCUAAUCAGAAAGCCACGGCUAACUACGUG